UAAGGUGAACAUAGCAUAAGGGCUCCACCUCUUCCCAUUCCGAACAGAGAAGUUAAACCUUAUCACGCCGAUGGUACUGCGAAAGCGGGAGAGUAGGUAAUCGCCGCCU
rnacentral:rRNA from 4 species